CGCCCUUAAGCCAUGCAACAUAAGCAGAGAUGCUCAGCACGGGCUCUGGCACAGGCCUUUAGCAGUACCUUCUAACCGUAGUGCCUUUCCCUGGCAGGGGGACCCUGGGGACCCUGGUGAGGAUGGUAUGAAGGGCACCCGAGGUGAUGCUGGCUCCCCUGGCCUGCCUGGAGAGAGGGGUGUGGAGGGCCCCCGCGGCCCCCCCGGUGCACGGGGUGACCCUGGGGACCGAGGCCUGCCGGGAGAGAAGGGGGACCGUGGCCCACCGGGGCUGGAUGGCCGCAAUGGGCUGGAAGGCAAACCUGGGCCCCCGGGUCCCACCGGGCUGCGGGUGAGCUUGGUGGGGGCUGCAGGACAGAGGGGCAGUGGGGAGGGAAGAGCAUCCCCCCCCAGACACCUUCUGCUCUGGGCUGGGGAUGCUCGUGGGGUCCUGUGACAGAGUGGGGAUGUCCCUGCUCUUACCUCCUCCUUGUCCACAGGGGGACCCGGGGAAGCAGGGGGACCCUGGCCGGGAU
rnacentral:lncRNA from 1 species